AUCGUGAUCGUGAGAUCUACUCCUUCGUCUCCGUCCGCUCCGUCCUCCUUUUUUUGGCUGCCAUCCGCCAAGUUGAGGAGCAUCUUCCGAGUACAACCAUCUUGAGGAGCAUCUUCGAGCUUCACACCUGUGCCAAAGAUACCGUUAUGCUUCUUCUGAGACAACGAGAAGGGUUUGGUAUGAGAUACAUUCAUUAGGGACAUCGACAUCUGAGCUGGAAGCCAAGAGGCAGCAGCAAAGGCUUAAUUUUCUCAUACAACAAACUGAGAUGUACAGUCACUUUAAGCAGAACAAGUCAAACUUACUAUUGUCUGAAGCUUUACCCAUGGUAGAAGAAAAAACAAAUGAUCAAGAUGCAGUGUUCAACUCUUCACAUGCUGGGCCUAGUGAGGAGGAAGAUCCAGAAGAGGCUGAAUUAAAAAAGGAAGCUUUGAAGGCUGCUCAAGAUGCAACCUCUAAGAAGACAUGUUCGUACCAAAAAGAAGGAUAGUUUCGUCAAUAUUCGUGUGCCUCAUUUUAUAUUUCCCCGAGACGGAAAGAGUUCCAACUUUUCAAUGGAGUUUCAUA